UCCCUGGUGGACAAGUGGCUAGCAUGCGGUGCUCUCAGCGCCAUGGCCCAGGUUCAAUUCCUCAUCAGGGAA